rfam:Tyuleniy virus strain LEIV-13859Kam polyprotein precursor, gene, complete cds
GAGACGGGUAUGGCAGCAGAAAACGGGGAGCUAGCCGUUCCCGACGUACUCGUCUCAUAAAAAUUUGUGAGGCUUUC